rnacentral:snRNA from 1 species
UCCGCUUCUCGGCCUUUUGGCUAAGAUCAAGUGUAGUAUCUGUUCUUAUCAGUUUAAUAUCUGAUACGUCCCCCAUCCGGGGACUACUUAAGGGGAAGUUGUGGCCUAAUGGUUAGAGGGUUGGACUCCCA